AGAUUCCUACUUGGAAUAGUUUAAAAAUGUACGAUUCCAGUAGAAUCGUUUGGAAUUGCUUAGCGGAUUUGGUUUCAACUCCGAUUGUCGCUUGCCAAUUCAAUAUGUGCAAGUUUUGGUUUCUGAAGCGGCCAGGUGCUUGUUGUGGUGCAGCCUUGGAGCACAGUAAGCAGUGCUCCAGUCUGGCUUUAUUUUACAUUGAAAAAAAACCUUGUCAAAUCUGAAAAUAGG